rnacentral:rRNA from 1 species
CGCCUGUUUAUCAAAAACAUGUCCUUUUGAUUAUUUAUAUAAGGUCUAACCUGCCCAAUGAGGUAUUCAAUGGCCGCGGUAUUUUAACCGUGCUAAGGUAGCAUAAUCAUUUGUCUUUUAAUUAAGGGCUGGUAUGAAAGGUUGGACAAAGUAUAAGCUUUCUUUAUUUUAAUGUAUGAAUUUAAUUUUUAAGUUAAAAAGCUUAAAUGUUUUUAUUGGACGAGAAGACCCUAUAGAUCUUUAUGUUUAUUAUUGAUUAAUUAAUUUAGGAGUUUUUAUUAUUUUGAUUGAUAUAAUUAUUUGAUUGGGGUGAUUGUAGAAUUUUAAUAACUUCUAUUUUUUAAUUUCAUAGAUUAGUGUUUUGUUGAUCCAUAAAUUAUGAUUAUAAGAUUAAGUUACCUUAGGGAUAACAGCGUUAUUUUUUCGGAGAGUUCAUAUCGAUGAAGGAGUUUGCGACCUCGAUGUUGGAUUAAAAUAAGUAGUAGGUGUAGUAGUUACUAACUAGGUCUGUUCGACCUUUAAAUUUUUACAUGAUCUGAGUUCAAACCGGAG